GUUGGGACAAUAACGUCACGAAAUGACCGCUCAGCAUUUCUGCCUUCCGAUUGGUUCUUAGACCGAAAGCUAUCGAAUUGUAUUCAAUAACAAAUGUUGUAAACAAAUGUAAAAUGUUUGACAGAACAGUUGAGGGAGGAAUGCCGCCCGAGGAGGCUCAAGUUUGAGAUGUUGUGCAUAUUACUUUUAUCAUCUCUAUGGUUCCUGUUUCUAAUUUUCUGGGUGGAGACCAUCAGUGUGUGGUUCUUUCUCUCUAUGGCCUUUCAAGACAGACCUUCCAAUCAUUGGGGAGAAGGGGUAUUUUCAGAUGAUUCCGGCCUGUUCAUAUACAUGGUGAACAGGGUUGAUGCCUACAUGCAGAGAGACGUGGAUUGAACACCUCCGAGAUGGACUCUUUUGAGUACACAAUGGCACUUUUUCAUUUCCCGCUGAUUCCGUCUACGCCAACAUACUGAACUGCAGCAGGUGCACGCUAAUCAUAGCUGUUGAAGGCAGAAAGAACAGAGACAUAACUCUGGGUGCACUGUUUCUGGAGGUUUUUAAACAAAGUAAAUGUUGCAGGAAAAUUAUGAAGAAGUCUUAAUGUUAUUUCAUUUAUUUUAAUUUUAGAAGAAAAUUAUUUCCCCCUGCAUCCCUUGUAAGGAUGGAUAAGCGGCUUCGAAGAUGAAUGAAUGAAAGAAGUUAUUUGGAUUUUUCUGGAUUUGCACAAAGAUGUGUUUAAUUACACUACCAUUCUAUGCAGUCGUAAAGUCAUGUUUGAGAUUGUAAUCGAUCUUUCCAGUUAUCCUGAUGUAACAUUUUGUGAAAAAAUGAAAAUGUACAUAUAUCACAGCUGUUGGAGCCAAUUGAUCAAUUACAGGUACCAAGCUGAACAUACAGUCAUGGUUUUCCAUUAAAAAACUGUCCUCCAAGCUAAUUUCUUUGAGCGAGAGAGGAGGGGGCACCUCUGGUCUGGUCACCAGCCAACUGCAGGGAGCAUAUAGACGUACAGCAUGCCCCAUUCACGUGCAAUGCUUCCGCGAGAAACAAAAUCCCUCUUGAUCAGAACAUGUAUGUAAAACAGUCUCUAACUCAAAAAUUGCCAGCUAUUUUCAAAAUAUUUUAAAGCAUUUUAGUCAUAGAAAUCAACCAAAUGAAAGAGUAUACACCCUUACUUUGCCAGGGAAAAAAAUCAAUUUUUUUCAAUAAUAGGUUUUUUUUUUCUUUCCUUUUUUCUUUCUUUCUUGAUCUUGACACAUCCAACAUCUCUGAAUUUUGUCUCCAUUCUAAAAAGCAGUUGUAACAACUUUGAUGGAAAAAUAUUUUAUUUGUAUGCAUUGAGCUGAGCAUUAUAGACACAUCGUGAGUAACAUAUUAAAACCGAAUUCACAUCUAGUGCCAUUAAUAUGUUGUUACUUGCUAUUCACAUUGCAACAGUGACAUUUGUGAUCAUCAGAUAUACACAAAUUGUACUUGAAGUGCGCUGUAUAUAAUGACUAUUUAGCAUAAAUGACACAAUAUUGUAUUGUUCAUGUUUUCUGAGGGAGCACUAGCCUAAUCUCUGUGUUGCAUUAUGUUGUUGUUUUUCCAGUUCUAUGAUUAGCGUCGCACUUGCCAUUAGGGGUGUAACAAUAUAUCGAAAUGGCAAUGUCUGGCGAUACUUUGUAUCUCAAAAGAUUAUCGAUAUGCUCCUGCCAAGAAUCAAUAUAUCGUGUUAAAAAAUGUCACUGUGCGGAAAAAAAAGGGAACCAAAAGUGUUGCUACCAAAUCUUCCACUGGAAUAGCGUCUGCAUUGGCUGCAAGUGACAGCGCUAGAUGUCCAAUCCAUUUUAAUCAUCAAUGGCUCUAAAACAGAGCAUUCACGGCCAGUCUUAACUUCAUAUUCAUAUUAGGGCAUCUACAGGUCACUUCCUGUACAGUAAAUUUUGAGUCACUUCCUAUUCAUUUGGGGGACAUUCCCAGGUCACUUCCUGUUUAGUAACCCAAAAUCAACAGGAAGUGAUCAGUAAACACCUCAAAAUCAACAGGAAAUGACCCAGAAAUUCACCAAAAUCAACAUGAAGUGACCAAUAAUCAAUAUAUACUGGAUAUUGUAGAAUGACCAUGUGUGACCUGACCCAUGUAUCGAUAAUUAUUGAGGUAAUCGUUAUCGUGAGCGUUGUAUCGCAAAUCAUAUCUUGAGGUACCCAGAGGUUCCUACCCCUACUUGUCAUUGCUGUUCCUCUUAUGUGGUGAUGUCACAAAAAGCCAAAGAGAAAACAAAUUUUGACUUUAAUCAUACCACUUCGGAGACAUUUGGCUUCAGGGCUGCACUUUCCCACAUUGAUAAUGAAUCUGUUCACUUUUUUCAUUUGAAAACUUAGCUUUUUAAGAAAUGUGUCUGCAUAGGUUUGCUUGCAUCUCAGGCAAAAAGACAUUUUUAUUCAAAUGCUCAAUUUGUAAAGCAAUGCUCAAUAAAUGGAUGUAUUUUGAAGCUUCACCCAGUGUCAUCAGGUCAAACCAGAGAAUCACAAACUUCUCACAUGGCUGAAGAGUGUGUAUCUGUUCUGAGAAUGUUCUUCUUUUCUCCAUAUGUUUGACCCUAUGGUGUGACUAAAGGUCUUCAACUGGUUCCAUCAACCUGUAGCAGGGAAAGAGUACAGUAACUAAGCCUCUUGCCCAGGCGUGUCACUAGGUUUUAAGAACAGGGGGGUCUUAGCCCCCAGGACUUACACAGGAUGUAAGUGAACAUAGCAUACCAGCACAAAACUUCACAAACAGUUAACAAAGACUGAUAAUUUAUACCACAGGUAUCAAACUGAUUCCAGAAAGGGCCAAGUGGGUGCAGGUUUGCUUUCCAACCAAUGAAGAGCACACUUUUUCACCAAUUAGAUCUUUUACAUGUGU